GCAGGAGCCCCCCACCGCCAAGCGACUGUCGCGGGCGCGGGGGGGAAACGCAUCAAACGUGAGAAAAAACAAGGCCUGCGUGGUGAGGACCAUCCAGGCACGUCAGCUGGACAAGCUGGUGGAUCAGCUGGUGCACUCCUUCCUGGGCAGAGACCCCACCUUUGUCCCCACCUUUCUGGGAAGUUAUAGAACCUUUGCCACCACCCAACAGGUGCUGGACAUUCUAUUUACAAGGUAUGGCUACAUUUUCCCACACUCAGAAGAGGAUGGUGGACCUCUGUACCAGCUGAAAAUGUGAGUGGGCUUUGGAUCAGAACUGUGAGAAGAGAGUGGGGACUGUGAAUUGGGGGUGAUAGCAGAACCCUGCCUCCCUCACGUCACGGGAUUUCUGCAACAGGGAGAGGUCCGAGGGCUUCUCCUAGAAAAGAGGAAAAGAAUCAAAGAAAGCUGUGGGUAUGGCGUUGGGUCCCAUGGGAGAGCACUGGGCGGUCUGUGGGCAGUCGGCCCCUCG